CUCAGGCACUUUCUCAGUCGUCUUCACUGGGUCCUUCAAUCAGCCAGAAGGACUUUUCUGGUCUACUGUCCACGUGGAGAUGAGUAAGUAAAAGCGAGUGUCAUCACGCGCUCUUAAAGUGGUAAAGACGGCUUCAUUGUGUAGCAUGUGGCAUUGCAUUGAAAGCAGCAGGAAAUGGCUGGUGCACCGUGUCACGUGUUGACACCAUGAGGACCAGGUGAAACGUGCUUUUGAGCUCCAGGUGAGCAGGCCUGCAGUAAAAGGCUGCAACUGUAACGUGGACCGGGUUACAUGACACCUGGGUCUGUAUUCACAAGGAGUGAGCCUUCCUAGUGGAGGUAAAUUACCCAGCAUUCAAGGACUAGUGGCGUGUGAGAUGCUGUUUUCUGCAUAUGUGAAUCCUCACUACAUUCUUUUAUAAAUAAAACCUUCUGCUAUAAAUAAAACCUUCAAAAGUC